CAGUAGCCGCGGUAAAACGUAGGGUGCAAGCGUUAAUCGGAAUUACUGGGCGUAAAGCGUGCGCAGGCGGUUAUAUAAGACAGAUGUGAAAUCCCCGGGCUCAACCUGGGAACUGCAUUUGUGACUGUAUAGCUAGAGUACGGCAGAGGGGGAUGGAAUUCCGCGUGUAGCAGUGAAAUGCGUAGAUAUGCGGAGGAACACCGAUGGCGAAGGCAAUCCCCUGGGCCUGUACUGACGCUCAUGCACGAAAUCGUGGGGAGCAAACAGGAUUAGAUACCCGCGUAGUCCCUGUCUCUUAUAA
rnacentral:rRNA from 1 species